GACGCCGCAGCCACUCAAAUCAUAUCACGAAAUCCCAGGCAACUGUUGCUCUCUGGACGGCGCCGCCGGCAACCUGGGUGCCGCCAGGAUUCUCUGGACGGCACCUAAAACUCCAAGGCAGGCGCAUGAGCAACUCAUCCAAAAACCAAUCAGGUGACAGAGUAGCAAGAAGCAUUAUGGACUUGAAUGUACCUCCACCAGAAUUUAACUAUGAUUUCCUAGAUGCAAUGUUUCAAGGUCCAAAAGAUGCAUGCGAACCAAUAUUUUGCACUCAGCAGCUGCCAAACAAACAGGAUGUGCCUACUGUGUCUGAGAUCAGGCUAUGACUUGAAGAAGCAAGAAUAGAUGAUGUUCUUGGAGCUUCUAAUGGUGAUGAGCAGGAUGCUGCUGGUAACGAUAUAGUGCAAAUUAUACCUGAUGAAAUUGGUGAAGAGGUCGUGUCCACACCUCAAAUGCCAUUCAAUGGACAGACAUUUGAUACUAAAGUCGAAGCGAGGGAGUAUUACAACGCAUAUGCUAAAAGAAAUGGUUUCUCCAUCCGUACAGGCACGUCGCGUAGAGCUACUGUGACGAGGGAAAUGUCUAAAGUAUCAUUCGUUUGUAACAGGGAAGGUAAUGGAAGGAAAAGGAAAGAUGAGCAGACAAUCGAGGGUGUUGCUGAUGGUACUGACAACGGUGAUUCCACUGUUGAAGAAUAAGAAGAUGCUGAAGAAGAAAUAGACAAUGAUGAGGAAGAUGCUGAGAAGAAGAAGAAACUUGAUGGAGGCAAAAAAAAGGAAAAGAGAGAAGAUGCAAUACACAAAUUGCAAAGCAAGAAUGGUUGUGAAGUUUAUAGGUGCAAGGUGGAGAGUGAUUGACUUCAUUGCAGAACACAACCAUGAUCUUGUUGUGAAACCUUCACUGAAAAAGUUUAUGAGGUCUCACAAAGGUAUCCCUAGGGAGGAAAAAGACUUUAUUAGGUUGCUUCAUGGGUGCAACUUAACCACAGGGUGCAUAAUGCAGCUUAUGUCAGAGUUCUAUGGAUCUGCACAGGUUACUCCAUAUGAAAGUAAAGAUGUGAGCAACUUCCACUCCACUAUCAUAAUGCAUCAAGCGUUAGACCACUUUAGGGGGAUGAAAGAAGAAGAUCCUGGUUUUUUCUACAAAUUCAAGUUGGAUGAUGAAAAUAGAAUUCAAAACUUAUUCUGGCUUGAUAGUGCAUCAAGGCAUGCAUAUGUCGAGGCCUACAAUGAUUGUGUCUCAUUUGAUGCAACCUACAUGACGAAUAUGUAUGACAUGCCAUUUGCACCCUUUAUUGGGAUCAAUAGACAUGGGCAGACAUUCCAGUUGGGGUGUGCCUUCAUAAGGGAUGAAAAGAUACCUAGCUACAAAUGGUUGUUUGAGACAUUUCUUAGAAGCCAUGGAAGGCAAGGCACCUCUGAACAUCAUAACAGAUCAGGAUGUUGCUAUGAGAAGUGCUAUCGCACUUGUAUUCCCAAAUGCAACACAUCGAAAUUGUCGCUGGCACAUUAUGGACAAAUUUUCUAGCACAAUAGGGCCAUGUCUUGCUGGAAUCAAGAGCUAGAAGAAGAAUUCAAAGAUUGUAUUAACUACACAGUGACUCCGGAGGAGUUUGAGACAAAAUGGUCUUAUAUGACAGAUAAGUAUGGCCUGUUACUCUUCUAGGAUUACAUAGUGCACGGAUCGAGUAGGAUUUCUUUCUCUUUUCUUGAUCUGAGUACAAAAGGGGUCCUAGAUCAAGAACAUAGAGUACACAGGAAGGGAGAAGUAGAGACCAUCACCACCGGCGGAGCUUGAAGCGGCCAUCUCUGGUUCGUUGAUGGAGAUCUGCUCAAGGGCGGCGACGAGCGGUGCAGAGGCGUCAUGGGCGUAGCGCCGGAGUCGAGGACGGUGGCAGUGACGUCGAUGGAUCAGCGUCGACGGCGGCAGCGGUGAGUCUUCCCGCUGCUCCAGCGCCCCCUCCAGAUCGGCUAGGGUUUAGAGAAUGUGGGUGAGGGUGCUGGCGGCGCGGUGAACCUCAUACCGAGUGCCUGGCCCCUCACCCCCUUUUAUAUGGCGCUGUACAGUGGGGGCCCACCAACCAUUAAGGGUUGGACUCCCCCGAUCAGGGCGCGGAUUAAGGGCAUAAUAGGCCGUUGGGCCUAUUAGGAAGGAGAUCAAUCCAACAUUCUCUCCCUUGAUCUCACUUUGUACUUUAACUUUAAACCUUUUUUCUGUAAUUGUUCCAUCACAGAUUAAUGAAUAGAGCAUGUUUUAUCGUCA